rnacentral:lncRNA from 1 species
UAAAUCUUACCUAUCCUUAGUGAGUCGACAGUAAGACUUCCGUACUGAAAACAGGGUUAACCCCUCUAGUGCGUCGAAGCUAUCCUCACAUGGUGGAUGUUGGUUUUGGUCGAGUGUUCUCCCGUUGAUAAUGAAAAGCCUCAGUGCUUGUGUUUAAAAUUGAAUCCACCAACUUUUGGAAAUCUUUUAGCCGAACUACGGCGUUUUGAUCCUUACCUUUGAUGGAAGGUACGUAGGCAACGGGUUCAUCCGUUCAAACCCAAUAAAAAU